rnacentral:rRNA from 1 species
GACGAACGCUGGCGGCGUGCUUAACACAUGCAAGUCGAACGGAAAGGCCCUGCUUUCGUGGGGUGCUCGAGUGGCGAACGGGUGAGUAACACGUGAGUAACCUGCCCUUGACUUUGGUAUAACUUCAGGUAACUGGGGCUAAUACCGUAUAGGAGCUCCUGCUGCAUGGUGGGGGUUGGAUAUUUUCGGCGGUUGGGGAUGGACUCGCGGCUUAUCAGCUUGUUGGUGGGGUAGUGGCUUACCAAGGCUUUGACGGGUCGCCGGCAUGGGAGGGUGGACGGGCACAAGGGGACUAAGAGACGGACCAGACUCCAACGGGAGGCAGCAGUGGGGAAUAUUGCACAAUGGGCGGAAGCCUGAUGCAGCAACGCCGCGGGCGGGAUGACGGCCUUCGGGUUGUAAACCGCUUUCGCCUGUGACGAAGCGUGAGUGACGGUAAUGGGUAAAGAAGCACCGGCUAACUACGUG